GGGCGUAAGGGCUCGCAGGCGGUUUCUUAAGUCUGAUGUGAAAGCCCCCGGCUCAACCGGGGAGGGUCAUUGGAAACUGGGGAACUUGAGUGCAGAAGAGGAGAGUGGAAUUCCACGUGUAGCGGUGAAAUGCGUAGAGAUGUGGAGGAACACCAGUGGCGAAGGCGACUCUCUGGUCUGUAACUGACGCUGAGGAGCGAAAGCGUGGGGAGCGAACAGGAUUAGAUACCCUGGUAGUCCACGCCGUAAACGAUGAGUGCUAAGUGUUAGGGGGUUUCCGCCCCUUAGUGCUGCAGCUAACGCAUUAAGCACUCCGCCUGGGGAGUACGGUCGCAAGACUGAAACUCAAAGGAAUUGACGGGGGCCCGCACAAGCGGUGGAGCAUGUGGUUUAAUUCGAAGCAACGCGAAGAACCUUACCAGGUCUUGACAUCCUCUGACAAUCCUAGAGAUAGGACGUCCCCUUCGGGGGCAGAGUGACAGGUGGUGCAUGGUUGUCGUCAGCUCGUGUCGUGAGAUGUUGGGUUAAGUCCCGCAACGAGCGCAACCCUUGAUCUUAGUUGCCAGCAUUCAGUUGGGCACUCUAAGGUGACUGCCGGUGACAAACCGGAGGAAGGUGGGGAUGACGUCUAAUCAUCAUGCCCCUUAUGACCUGGGCUACACACGUGCUACAAUGGACAGA
rnacentral:rRNA from 1 species